GACGAACGCUGGCGGCGUGCUUAACACAUGCAAGUCGAACGGAAAGGCCCCUUUGGGGGUACUCGAGUGGCGCACGGGUGUGUAACACGUGCGUAACCUGCCCUUGACUUCGGGAUAACUUCAGGAAACUGGGGCUAAUACCGGAUAGGAAUCCUUGCUGCAUGGUGGGGGUUGGAAAGCUUCGGCGGUUUUGGAUGGACUCGCGGCUUAUCAGCUUGUUGGUGGGGUAGUGGCUUACCAAGGCUUUGACGGGUAGCCGGCCUGAGAGGGCGACCGGCCACAUUGGGACUGAGAUACGGCCCAGACUCCUACGGGAGGCAGCAGUGGGGAAUAUUGCACAAUGGGCGGAAGCCUGAUGCAGCAACGCCGCGGGCGGGAUGACGGCCUUCGGGUUGUAAACCGCUUUCAGCAGGGGCGAAGCUUGUGGUGACGGUACCUGCAGAAGAAGCACCGGCUAACUACGUG
rnacentral:rRNA from 1 species